AUUGAACGCUGGCGGCAUGCCUUACACAUGCAAGUCGAACGGCAGCACGGGAGCAAUCCUGGUGGCGAGCGGCGAACGGGUGAGUAAUGUAUCGGAACGUGCCCAGUCGUGGGGGAUAACGCAGCGAAAGCUGUGCUAAUACCGCAUACGAUCUAUGGAUGAAAGCGGGGGAUCGCAAGACCCCGCGCGAUUGGAGCGGCCGAUAUCAGAUUAGGUAGUUGGUGGGGUAAAGACCUACCAAGCCUACGAUCUGUAGCUGGUCUGAGAGGACGACCAGCCACACUGGAACUGAGAAACGGCCCAGACACCUACGGGGGGCAGCACUGGGGAAUUUUGGACAAUGGGCGCAAGCCUGAUCCAGCAAUGCCGCGUGCAGGAUGAAGGCCUUCGGGUUGUAAACUGCUUUUGUACGGAACGAAACGGUUCUUUCUAAUACAGAGAGCUAAUGACGGUACCGUAAGAAUAAGCACCGGCUAACUACGUGCCAGCCGCCGCGGUAACAC
rnacentral:rRNA from 1 species